GCUCCCUUAGCUCAGCUGGAUAGAGCAACUGCCUUCUAAGCAGUCGGUCGAUGGUUCGAAUCCAUCAGGGGGCGC
rnacentral:tRNA from 1 species